UACGGGGGGGCAAGCGUUGUUCGGAAUUACUGGGCGUAAAGGGCUCGUAGGCGGCCAACUAAGUCAGACGUGAAAUCCCUCGGCUUAACCGGGGAACUGCGUCUGAUACUGGAUGGCUUGGAUUCGGGAGAGGAAUGCGGAAUUCCAGGUGUAGCGGUGAAAUGCGUAGAUAUCUGGAGGAACACCGGUGGCGAAGGCGGCAUUCUGGACCGACAUUGACGCUGAGGAGCGAAAGCCAGGGGAGCAAACGGG
rnacentral:rRNA from 1 species